rnacentral:rRNA from 1 species
CCCUUAGAUAUCCUGGGCUGCACGCGCGCUACAAUGGAUAUAAGAAAAAGUAUGCUAAUGUUAUUGUAGUUUUACACUAUAAUAUGGUCCUGAUUUGAAAAGAUUGGUAAUCUUAUUGAACUAUAUCCUUGCUUGGGAUAGACACUUGUAAUUAUUUGUCUUGAACGAGGAAUUCCUAGUAAACGCAAAUCAUCAGUUUGCAUUGAUUACGUCCCUGCCCUUUGUACACACCGCCCGUCGCACCUACCGAUGGUUUUUAAUGUGAAAAUUUCUGACUGCUUGAUGUCAUGCUUUUGUGUAUGGUAUUGGAGUUGAAUGUGAUUUGAAUUUUAAAAAUUAGAGGAAGGUGAAGUCGUAACA